rnacentral:rRNA from 1 species
AUUGAACGCUGGCGGCAGGCUUAACACAUGCAAGUCGAGCGAGUGGCGGACGUGUGAGUAAUGUCUCGGAACGUGCCUGGUGGAGGGGGAUCACUACUGGACACUGUUGCUAAUACCGCAUACUAUUGGAUGUGCCCAUAUCGGAUUAGCUUGUUGGUGGGGUAAAGGCUCACCAAGGCAACGAUCCGUAGCUGGUCUGAGAGGACGACCAGCCACACUGGGACUGAGACACGGUCCAGACUCCUACGGGAGGCAGCAGUGGGGAAUAUUGGACAAUGGGCGAAAGCCUGAUCCAGCCAUGCCGCGUGUAUGAAGAAGGCCUUCGGGUUGUAAAGUACUUUAAGCAGGGAGGCGUUACCCGCAGAAGAAGCACCGGCUAACUCCGUGCCAGCAGCCGCGGUAAUUC